UUUUCUGUUGCUUCUUUUUGUUAUUUCGGUAAGCAUUUUCGAUUUGAAAACCCUUUAGUUACUAUUUUGUUAUCAUACGCUGAGGGUUGUGGCGUUAAUUGCUAUAUGAUUGAGUUUCGGUUGUUGUAUGUUGCGACUAGAGUCGUUGAGAUUGUUGAGAAAGCAAGUGAAGCCGAGUUGUUGGCUGCAGUCGGUUUUGGGUUGAGACGAAAAAGACUCUGUGAGUCGUUUGGGUUAUGGAUUCGCGUUUUGAGGAUAAGGACGCAGAAGUCAGGAAGAGUUUAUUUAGUUAUUGUUGAAAUGCUCUGUAUGCCUUAGAUUAUUAUUUAUUGUACCCUCGCCUUUAUCUUUAUAUAUUCUAUAAGAGGGAUAGGCAUUGUAUUGAUUAAUGCUUGUCAUAUUAUAUAUAUAUAUAUAUAUAUGGAUGUAUUCUUUGUGGUUUUUGUAA